CGCUUUGAGAGGAGCCUGUGUCCUAUCAGCUUGUUGGUAAGGUAAAGGCUUACCAAGGCUAUGACGGGUAGGGGGCGUGAGAGCGUGAUCCCCAACAUUGGAACUGAGACACUGUCCAAACACCUACGGGUGGCUGCAGUCGAGAAUAUUCCACAAUGGGCGAAAGCCUGAUGGAGCGACGCCGCGUGCGGGAUGAAGGCCUUUGGGUUGUAAACCGCUUUUGUAAGGGAAGAAUCCGUGCUUCACUUUUGUUCAGCACGAAAUUUUUAAUUUUCAAUGAAUUUUGAAUGUAUUAAUUUCCAAAUUUUUUAAACAUUUGAGAAUUUAAAUAUCAAGAAUUUAAUUAGAAAUUUCGUGGCGAGCGGGAGCGAGGUACGGUCUGACGGUACCUUGCGAAUAAGAGGUUGCUAACUCUGUGCCAGCAGCAGCGGUAAUACAGAGACCUCAAGCGUUAUCCGGAUUUAUUGGGCGUAAAGAGCAUGUAGGCGGCUUUGUUAGUCAGAUGUCAAAUCUCCGAGCUUAACUCGGAAACUGCAUUUGAAACGGCAAAGCUAGAGGAAGUGAGGGACCAGUGGAACGUAUGGUGUAGUAGUGAAAUGCGUUGAUAUCAUACGGAACAUCAAAGGCGAAGGCAUCUGGUUGGCACUUUUCUGACGCUGAGAUGCGAAAGCGUGGGUAGCGAAUGGGAUUAGAUACCCCAGU
rnacentral:rRNA from 1 species